rnacentral:snRNA from 1 species
UUACUUUAGCAGCAGCUAUAUUAAAAAUUAGAAUGGUACAGAGAAGAUUAGCAUGGCCCCUGCACCUCAAAUUUGAAAAAAGUCAUUGGUAUGA